rnacentral:rRNA from 1 species
AGUGAACGCUGGCGGCAGGCCUAAUACAUGCAAGUCGAACGGCAGCACAGUGGAGCUUGCUCCAUGGGUGGCGAGUGGCGGACGGGUGAGGAAUACAUGGGAAUCUGCCCAGUCGUGGGGGAUAACGUAUGGAAACGUACGCUAAUACCGCAUGCGCCCUAAGGGGGAAAGCCGGGGACCGCAAGGCCUGGCGCGAUUGGAUGAGCCCAUGUUCGAUUAGCUAGUUGGCGGGGUAAAGGCCCACCAAGGCGACGAUCGAUAGCUGGUCUGAGAGGAUGAUCAGCCACACUGGAACUGAGACACGGUCCAGACUCCUACGGGAGGCAGCAGUAGGGAAUAUUGGACAAUGGGGGCAACCCUGAUCCAGCCAUGCCGCGUGAGUGAAGAAGGCCCUCGGGUUGUAAAGCUCUUUUGUCCGGAAAGAAAGCAAUCGGUUAAUACCCGGUUGUUCUGACGGUACCGGAAGAAUAAGCACCGGCUAACUUCGUGCCAGCAG